rnacentral:misc_RNA from 1 species
GAUGAAGAACGCAGCGAAAUGCGAUAAGUAGUGUGAAUUGCAGAAUUCAGUGAAUCAUCGAAUCUUUGAACGCACAUUGCGCCCCUUGGUAUCCCGAGGGGCAUGCCUGUUCGAGCGUCAUUUCACCACUCAAGCCUGGCUUGGUGUUGGGCGACGUCCCCUUUAGGGACGCGCCUCGAAACGCUCGGCGGCGUGGCACCGGCUUUAAGCGUAGCAGAAUCUUUCGCUUUGGAAGUCGGGGCCCCGCCUGCCGGAAUACCUACUCGUAAGGUUGACCUCGGAUCAGGCAGGGAUACCCGAUGAACUUAAGCAUAUCAAUAAGCGGAGG